rnacentral:lncRNA from 1 species
ACGUAAUAGAUGGAUAUCCCCAAUAUAAUAGUUUCAUAAUAUUAAACAAAAUAUAAGGAAUAACAACUGAGAGGACAUAAAAAUACAUUCACAUGGUUAUGUAUAUAUGUCAUACAACCUUUUUUUCCUUCUGUGAACAAAUAUUUGUGGUUCGACAACCAGUAAAAAUAAUAUAGAGUAAAACAUUUAAAAUUUACGUCAGUUCUCACUUUAUUAUGUGUCUAAGAGAUAAAAUGCAAAACAUAUAUAAACAGCGGCGGAUGCAAACGAUUUGACAAGAGAUUCAAUAAAUUUUCAACAAAUAUUAAAUAUGAAAAAUAUGUACAAUUUUAAAGUACAAUAAUUUCCAUUUAAGUGUUGGGGAAGCAACGACAAAAAAAACACAACGGAAGCGCAAUACAAUCUUUUUCCCCAAAUAAACACAAUGAAUGACAAAGGCACAAUAACUUCCAAAAUAAUUUCCAGCAGCAGAUACACAGCAGCAACAAUUCAGUAAAACAGUGGAAAUAAAAUAGACACAAGCAAUUUACGUGGAAACCCCAAAUUGGGGAGAAAACCACGGGACCGAUCAACAACGAUCCAAAACUUCCACUAAUCAACAAGAACCANNN